rnacentral:lncRNA from 14 species
CCUGUUCAGACAGGCCUUUAAUAAACAUCAAAGGGUAUCUAUCUGGAUGGUUUCUCUUAGUACCAGAAAGACCCUAGAGCAGUAUCACUUUCCCUUUCUUACAAGCUCAUACCUUCUAUGAGGAGUGGUGGGAGUAGCUGGAGCAGGAGCAGGGUUUGUGCUGUGCUCGGCAAUGUGCUAGCUGAUGUAAUCCAAGCUUGGAACUGUGCUUGCCUGGGAGAACUUGACCUAAUGAAAGGCCAUCCAUCCAUCCAUCCAUCCCACACCUCUGCCCCUCCCUUAUGAGAGGGCUUAGCAAUGGUGAGUAAGGAACUGUGAGGUAUUUGAAGAACAGAGGUAGCAUAAAGGCAACAAAUCCUUGUGUGGUGACACACAAGGUGCAAAUGCCUGUGGUUUAAGCAAACUUGUCCUUCUCAUAAAGGGGUUUGUGAAACAUCUGUGUUCUUGAGGAGGUGCAGGGGCAGUGGCCAUGGUGGCAGUCUCUCCCACAUGCUGCUGUCUGGCUGGAAGGUGAUACUGUUGGAUGAGUUGUGUGAACCUGAACCUCAGUCCCACCCCCUUGUGUGCUCCUGGUUGGGUGUUGGUUUGACCAUGCUCUGGGUCAUGCUGGUGGCACAGGAAGGCUCCUUCCUCAGCAGGGCAGGGAGGUGGUGCAGAUGGUUCCCCCCAGCCCACACAAAGCCACAGGGCCUGGGAUGGGCCUGACCAGCCAAGCUGUGUCAAGCCCUGCUGAGCUGUGUUGAGCCAUAUUAAGCUGUUGAGCCAGGCAGAACCAUGCCAAGCCAUGUUAAGCUGAACCAAGCAGUGCUGAUCUGUGCCAAGCCAUGCCAAGCUGUGUUGAGCCAUGCCAUGCUUCAGUCAGCCAGAGCAAGCAGGGAGCUAUGAGGAGCACAAGUCAUGUCAUGCCAACUCCUGGUGCCACAGGACAUGUUCAAAGGCUUGAAUUGAGACAAGCAACUCCCGGAGUUUCCCUGCAGGAAGCAAUGGGGCACCCUGGAUGGCUCAGACGACAUCUGCCUCCACUUAUAUAUGAUAAAACCCACUGGAAUUGACGAAGUGAGCACAGAUGCAGCACACUUACAGCUGGAGCCAGCCCACAGCACAUCAAGUGAUACCAGUCACCCAAUAAAGGUGUCAGGAAGAGGGGGCA